AAGAUGCUGCUUACUCCCAAUAUAUACAAAAAAUCUCCAAACAUAGCCACAUAUGCAGCCAAAUAUAAGAAACACUAUAUUUAUGUUCUACCAAUUCACUAAUUAAUUAACAAAUAUGGAGAUUUGGAGUCAAGAAGUUGGAAGCAUAAUUGCUAGAUUUAAACUAAAAAAGAGGUUUUUAUUAAAUACACAUUACAUGGCCAAUGCUUGGUGGUAGAAACAUCCAAAAAAUAAAUCAAGUGAUAUUAGUUUUGAGAACACGGAAUAUUACUAUGAGCGACAUGUUCCCAUAUGAAGAAUUGGGAAUGCAGAGUUGGUUUCUGUGGAACAAGUACCCAUUUUGCAAAUAGACAACUCAGGUUUUUUUCUAUUUUCACCACACUCAAGUCUUAUGUAAGUGGAACUGCAUUUAUAUCAUCCCAUAAUGAUUCUUGACUGACUUAAAACUUGCAACUACAAUGGUCAUGCCUUGGAAAAACUAGGUCCUCGAGCUUGGGCACUGACCCAUUAUUUAUAUGACAAAUAUGCAUAUUUCUUACUUGAGCAUGCAUAUGAAACCAUAAGUAGGGUAGUUAACUUAAUAUCAACACUUCUUCUUUUUUUUGCAAAAACAUCAUAUUUUUAAAAAGAAAAAGAAAACAUAAUUUAAUAAAAGGAUAAAAACAUAAUGUGGUACCCGUCGCUAUUUACAGAUCGGUUUUCGGUUCAGCGCCUAUGGGGGAUCGAUCAUGGGUUUCCGAACCUUGCUCACGAGUCAAAGACAGAUCGGCUCGAGCCCCAACCCGAGUGAUUUAAGCCCGACUCUCUCCGGCCAAGGCUAACCAAAUAGAAAUCGAGGGAAGCCCAGCCCUACAUAUAAAUCUCGCCGAAGGGCUCCGCGUCUCGCGGUCGGCUCCACUCCAGAAGAAGCUGUCGCUGGUCGCAACUCGUUGAACCCUUAAAACCCGAGCCGACGUCAGGUACGCCUCCUCGGUCUCCAUCUCUUCCAUUCUUCGAAUCAUGAUUAGUUCUCUUCUUCGUUCUCGUUCCGGUUGGAAUCUUGACCUCGUGGUUCAGUAAUUUAGGUUUCCAUUUUCUCUCUUUGUCUCUAAGCAUUUAUAGUAGUUAUUGGUACACUUUACUGUUGAUUUAUAAAGGUUCUGAUUGAAAUCCGAGGUUUUUAGUUGGGAUUGCAUGAUAAAGCUCUUGUCUUUGGUCUGCGAAGAGCUGAUCCUCUGAUUUCUUCCCUGUUUGUCCAAGUGAGCAACUUUAAUGAGUGUUCCAUAGGGCAGCGCUUAGCUUCUUCUGUGGUUUAAGAAAUACUAAAGGCUGCUCUUUUUUGUGUUACGUUCUGCAAUUAGUAGGGUUUAAGCUUUUGCGCGGAAUCAUUGUUUGGAUGGGAGUUCUGUUGAAUUAUAUAAUCGUUGCUUUCUGUACAUCUUAACUUUUCUUUUUGCUUGAAAAUAUCUUUUGUUGCUUCAUGAUUGCUUGUACGUGCAAGCCAAGUUUGUAUACGCUAUCAGAAGAACCAGCGUGCCUAUGUAUAUGCAUUUUCCUGAAUUUUUUUAAAGAGAACUAUGUCAUUUCAGUUUGGGGGGGGCUUAAAUUCCUUUUUAAAUAGGAGUUAGAUCUUCCACUUGGCACCCGUAAAAUGAGUUAGUGUCGCAUAUGGCGUGAUUGUUGUUUUCUUUCUGGUUUAUUCAUUUGGAAUUAGCAUAUGAUAGUAUCUCAAUAUUUUACUUGCUGAUAGAACAUAAUGGUGUAUAUUUACUGUCUGAUUUUUCAAAUAGUAAAUUUUAAGGCUCGGAAAUGGAGGAAUUGGAAUUUUACAAAAUGGAAUCUGCAGUCUUUCUUUUUGUGAUCCGGCCCCUAAUUGGACCUGCAUAUCCUGCCGUUAGAAAAAAAUAUUUUUCUUGAUAAUAUCUUUGUUUCAAGAUGCUUUUAUAUGACAAGUUGGAGUUGCAUUAGCAAAAUUUUGUGAGUAACCAAAAUAGCAAAGCUGAUGAGAAUGAAUUAAAUUCCUGGAGGAGACAAGGAAAAACAUUAUCAAAGAAAAUCCAAAAGGUAAAAGAAAAAUCUGGAUUUAGAAAAUAUUACAAUAUGAGAUUAAAAAAAAAACCAUUUCCGAUGUUUUUCGGAUAGAAUUUUUCAAGUUAGAUCUAGAUUUCCUUAAAAUUUUCAUAUGUUAUAGAAAACAAUAAGAUGUUGCAGAAGAAAUAUCUGAACAUUAUUCCACGAUUUUUUUAAAAAAAUAUAUUCUGAUUGAUUUGUGGAGCAAUACAUAUCUCUAUCCUAGGAUUCCUAUAUAAUGAUGGAAUAUGGCAUGCAUCUUUAUGGUGUUCUUGGAGUUCUUAUUCCUUUUUUAAAGUCUGUAAAUAGCAAAAAAUUUGUGGGAAUUACAAAUGAGUUCUUUCAUUUCAUUAAUAUAAACUCAUUGUGGUCGCAUUGUAAAUACUUAUGACAAUGCUUGGGAUGCAUUAAAGUGGUUUUUGUAAUAUUAAAGUGGUGCUCUAUACUUGUUUUUUCAAGUUUAGAUCAAAUAAUGCUUACUAAUUAUUACAUUUUAAGUCGAGUUCAUGUGUUAACUGUUGUCAAUGUAUCUUUUGGUCAUACAAUAUGGAUACUUUACUGAGAUUAAUGCAAGUUAUAAUCAUUAAUUGAAAUAUGUGAAGGUAUAUUUUUUUUGUAAAUACUGUUUAGGCACUUGCCUAAUCGCUUGGGCUGCUCCUGGGAUAUAGAAGGCUCCACCACCUUGGGCUGCCUAGGCUAUUUGACCACUGAGUGGUGGUGGCCUUAAUUAAUUCUCAAAGCCCUAGUACAAGAUGUCAUCCCUUCUAUCAAGCAAAACAUGGAGCUAUAAGUUGAGCUGCAUUUAUUUGGACUGUACGUGCACCAUACAUGCAGUCAGUUAACCACACAAACAAUAUCCCCAUUAUCUCAGAUGAUUAAUACCCAUAUAUAUUUAGUAGCCAUCUAACCAUUGCUUGAUGCAUACAAGUACACAUUUAUAUAUUAAAAUCAUUAUUCUGUUGUUAAUAAUCUCAGUCUAUUUAUGUAUCAUAAAUAUAUCUAAGGCCAAAAAUGGUUUUGUAGUCUAAGAACAGUUAAGUCAUGUAGAACAAAGGAGAAAUAUGAAAGAAGAGGAAUAAAGUUUAUAACAAUUUUCUUUUUAAUGUUGGCUCUCCAUUCUUCUGAGUUAUGGAGAAUUGAUAACUAAAUAUUUAUUAAAUCUCUUUUACCAUUUAAUGGUUAAAAUGCAUGCUCGAGAGAUUCCCAUAUUUACAUUCUUCUUCUCUUAAUUCUUGUCUCUUUCUGCCGUCUUAGUAUCAGAACAAGUCUGCUUUAUCAAAUUGAGGUCCUUGAAGUCUCAAGUAUUUUCAAAAAAAAAAUAAUAAGUGGGGGUUGAAGUAUUAAGACCAUUGAAGAGGUUGGGAAUCUUGCAGAGAAGAUUAAAUCGGUUAUGGAUUCAUUUCUUACCCAAGAUUUGGGCAACUAAGAUCUCUUUAACCAUAUCUUCUGUACAUGCUUUUAUUUAUGUUGGGAGUUCUGAGGAUUCUUAUGCAGAGGAUGUCAUGAAAAGUUAAUUUACAACCUAUGUGCAUUGACAUAGAAGACAUGCAUUAAAGAUGCUGGAUAUCUCUCAAAAUUUGAGAGAAGCAUCUCAUGAUUAAUGCUUAUAAUCUUAAUAUUGUGAUGGAGAACAAAAACCUAUUAUCUUCACUGCUAGAACUUGAAACCUCUUAUCUUUCGGCCUGAUCGUUAAUCCAAAUGUUUCUUUUGUCUCACUUGUGAUUCCGGCACCUCUUACCUAGCGAAAAAUUUCAGGGAAGGAGCAUUUGAGAGUGAAUAAGCACGAACAAAAAUAAUUGUCUUUUGGUAGGUUUAAUUGUUUUUAUGUGUAUCCUGCCCACAUGCUAAAUAACAUUAGUCUUUAUUGUAGAGUAUCAUUGUUAUACUCUGUGAUUUGCGGACAGAUCCAAUCUUGGGAUCUGAAAAGUUGGCCUGAUGCUUAAUAUAUACCCCUUCUUUUGAUCCAGCAACCUUGUGGCACAAUACUAGGAAUCCACCCCUGAUUUAUUUUAUCAUACUAAAUUCAGCUGUGUAAUCUAAUUUGACAACAAACCUAAUUUAAAUCUGUAUUUACUAUCUCGUAGUAAUUCAAGGGGAAAGUCAUGCAUCUACUUAAAGACCAUUAUGCUUGAGAACUGUACAAAAACAAACAAAUCCUGACUCUCCAGGAAGGUAGUCUGAUUCUAAAUUUUUUCACAAACUUGUUAACUAACAACACUAUAAAUUAUCCCAUUCUUACCUUUUUUUGCUACAUCACUUAGACCCCGUUAACUCUAUCAAACUGGAAGAGUCUUAACACAUUGAAAAGGUUUUGCUUCAAAAAAAAUUCCUUAUAUAUUCUCUGCCUAAAAGAAUAUUAGUUUUAUUGUACAACAUAAAUGAGUGCUCAGGUCUUAUUUAUCACUCUUGGAAGGCUAAAUUUUGGUUGAAUUCAAGAGCACAGUUUUAAUCAAUUAGUAAAUGCUGAACCCAACGAGGUUUUGCAAAACCAAUUUAAGCAAACUCUGUCAUAGUCUGGUGCCUGUUCCCAACUGGAUUCAGAUAUCAUGGAAAAACCAUAAAAUGAAACUUCAAAAAAAAAAGGAGAAAAAUUAAUUUUCAAUUGUUGCCUGGGCAAGACAUUUCCAGUUAUAUUGGAUCCAGUGCGUUGCUUGUUCUAUUUGCAUCAAAUUCAAUCCAUGCAGAACUAUGUUCUUAAAUUCGUCCACCUGUUCAUGAUGUAAUCUUCCUGUCUUAAUUCCCACUUCACAUUCAAAAUAGUUGUUUCUAGUCUGUAUUUGUUGAUGUCCCCUCUAAUUGCUAGUUCACAGGUUAUUUAGGUCACCACCUAAGUGAUAAUAUAUUCUUCUGACAUAUAAAAUUUUCAACGACAUAUUUUGGUUGGAUUUUUUCAUCUGUUAGCUCUUACUUGACAACUUUAGACAGUAAUUAGGGGCCGGAUCACAAAAAGAAAGACUGCAGAUUCCAUUUUGUAAAAUUUCAAUUCCUCCAUUUCCGAGCCUUAAAAUUUACUAUUU